rnacentral:tRNA from 1 species
GCCUGGUUGGCCGAGUUUUUAAGGCACUAUGGGGCGGAGUAACACUCACAAGUGGAACCCAUAAGCGUGUACCCUCCUUAGCCGCGUUAGUCCGUACUCCAGAGACCCUGGUUCGAAUCUAGGACCAGGCA